CCUCAAGUGAUCCACCUGCCUUGGUCUCCCAGAGUGCUGGGAUUAUAGGCAUGAGCCAUAUUGCACCUGGCCAGGGUUAAGUUAAUUCUUCAUUAUACAGACCCACUUCCAUUUUUGAAGAAGGGGAAAUGUUCUCAAGAAGAAGAGCAUUUCAGGUAAAUAAACCCCCCAUAGGUCUAUUCCAUUGUAUGUUAGAUAGGUUAAAUAAUUCCAGCUUCUGUAAUAAAUAAACCCUGCGAUUCCAGUAGUUUAACAUAAUAAAAGUGUAUUUCUCUUUUUCACAGUCCAAUGUGGGUUGCUGGAAGGGUAUGGGGAGUGGAAGGAAGAGAGAGGGAAAGAAGUAAGAAGGGAGAGAGAGGGGAUGGUGGGAGAAGGAGGUAGCAUAAGGGAAGGGGUCUUGCUCCAUAUGAUUACUCAAGGACAAAGGCUUUUUCCAUCUUGUGGUUCCACCCUUUUCUUUGUCCCUUUCUUUGUCAUCUCCAUUCAGCAAGAGAAGGGAUGGCCAAAGAGUGAGGAUUGUGCUUGAGAGGUUUUUAUGGACCUAGAAGUGGUGCCCACCACUCUUGCUCACAUUCCACGGGCCAGCACAGUCACAUGGUCCCACCUAACUGCACUGGAGGCUGGAAGAGGGACUCUGGUUGUAGGCCAGGAAGAAGAAAAGAAUACAAUCACUGGUGAGCACCAACAGUCUUUGCCACAUAUAAACUGAUUAUGUGACACCAACAUUAGCUAAGUCAGAAUUUAUUUUUCUUUCUUUGGAAUUCCUUCAGCAAUUACAUACCCUCUAUAUCAUAAUUUUGUCAUAUUAAAUUAUAUAUUGCCUUAGAUUUAUGUCUUCUGCCUCCAUUUUUACAUCAUAAGCAGGAAUCAUUCUUCAGCUGCUUUGGUUUUUACCAUGAUGCAGGCUAUAAGGUCGGCACUGUAAGUGCAUUUAAAAAUCAUGCUGAAUUAUUUCAGUAAAGACUUAGGAAGCUGGAAUUUGCAGUCUGGAAACAAGCUUGGUUUAGUUGCUAUGGCACAAAGUAAUGAUUUAAAUAUAUACAAGGAUGUUUAUAAUCACAAAAAAACAGUAGAAAGGGAGUUAAAUAUCCAUUAAAUGUAUAUAGUGGGCAGUGGUUGAGGAGCAGCUGUGCUUGGGUUGUGACUGGCAUUGGUCGUGUUGGGGUCUAGUGGGCAGAGAACACUCUUGGCCAGGCAGAUGGCUUCUCGGUGGCAGAGAAUGGGGACCUCUAUGCACUGGAGAUCUCUCCAGCACCAGGAGCAGCUGGAGGACAGCAAGGAGCUGCAGCCUGUGGCCAGCCAGCCAUCAGGAUAACUCCACGUGGGCCCUGGGGUCUCUGCGCAGACAGUUCCAAAGGAGGCUGACCCUGAGAGCCAUCAACCUCAACUUCUGCGCAGGCCUUUCCUGGAAAUGCCUGGAAACCCCAGAGCCAGGGUAGCAGGGCUUCCAGGCUAUAGCUCACUCAGCUAAGAGUGCCUUGGGUGCCAUGUCCCAGAGAAUCCAGGAGUCCUGCCAAAGUGGCACCAAGUGGCUGGUGGCGAUCCAAGUGAAGCCCAGGAGGAGGAAGAGAGGGGCACAGAAGGGCAGUGGAUCCCCAACUCACAGCCUGAGCCAGAAGAGCACCCGGCUGUCUGGAGACGCCCCUGCCCACGAGCCACAGACCUCUGGGAAAAGGAGCAUCAUGACCUCUCUGCCCAGAUAGGCUCCCAUGCCUACCCAUUAUGGCGGUCGACGUGGGAGGCUGCCUUCUGGAGCCCCUACUCCUCAGCAUAGCCCCUUUGCUCUCCCAGCCAGUCUGACAGUGACCUAGAGCCUAUGGGGGCAGGAAUUCAGCAUUUCUAGAAGCUGUCCCAAAAGCUAGAUGAAGCCAUUAUGGCGGAAGAGAGUGGUGCUGACAUCCUCUCUCUCAUUCAUAGCUGAGGAAGUGGCCUGCAGGAAACAAGCCCUGUCUGAUCGCCAAGGCUUCAUACCCAAGGUGUCUGUGCUUCCCCAUGAGCUUCCUGGAGGAAGCCCCCAGGAGUCGUCAGUACCCCUGGGUCACUGCUAACAAGGACCUGACUAACAAGGGGUCCAGAGCCUCCCCUGCUCCGGCCACAUCUGGAUACAUCAGUGACUGCCUGCCACAGCCUUAAGAGUGUCUUGGGAAGACCUUGCAGAGGUGGGGAGAAUUUCUCAGGGGACUCUUGAGCUUAGAAACUCAUCAUACACUUGACCUUGAGCCUUGUAUUUGACUCAUCUAUAACGUGAAGUGCUAGCAUCAGAUGUUACAGAGCUCUUAGCUGUGUACCCAGGUGCCUGGUUUUGGGGGAGUCAUCUGCAGAGUCACUCACCCGCUGUGUUUCCAGUGCCAAGGCUCUUGGGGGUCCCACUCUCAUCCCUGCUUUCCCUACCAGGGACUCGGAGGAAGGCAUAGGAGAUAUUUCCAGGCUUAAGACCCUGGACUCACUGGUACCUCUGUAUAUGUUCAAUGCAGAGCACUGUGGGUGUGCCGGGAGGGGUAGCCCUAUUCAAGAGCAAUUUCUGCUCUCUAUAAAUUAUUUAAGAAACCUGCUUUGUCAUUGUAUUAGAAAGAAACUGGUGUGUGACUUUUCUAGAUAACACUGCUUUCUCAUAAUAAAGACUGUUUGCAUUUGAAAAAAAAAA